AGGGCACAAAAGGUUAAUAAGCUGGGCUGGUGAUGGUGGUACCUUGGUUCUCAAACUUAAUCUGUUCCAUAAGUCCGUUCCAAAACCAAAGCAUUCCAAAACCAAGGCACGCUUUCCCAUAGAAAGUAAUGCAAAAUGGGCUUUUAAAAACAACCCCUAAAACAGCAAUUUAACAUGAAUUUUACUAUGUAACAAGACCAUUGAUCCAUAAAUGAAAGCAAUAAUCGAUGUACUGUUCCAUAAAAUAAAGAAAACAGUAUUGUAGAUGAUACAAAUUAAAAUUAAUUUUUUUCUUACCUGCACUGAUGAUAGUCAUUGUUUGGUUGGGGGGAUUUUAUCCAUUUCCACAGUCACUCAAUCAAUCAAUCAAUCAAUCAAUAAGUAGUUGAACUGGGUUCCACACAGACACAAAAACAAAGUAACCAAAAAGGCCUCAAAAACAAAACCACAAAAUAAAUAGCAAAAACAAAAGCACCAAACUUAAUUCAUUCUGGAAGUCCGUUUGACUUCCGAAAUGUUCGAAACCAAGGCGCAGCUUCUGAUUGGUGCAGGUGCCUUGGAAACAAUAGCUGACAGCGCAUUGGAUGUUUGGCUUCCGAAAAACGUUCGAAAACCAGAACACUUCCGGUUUUCCGAAAGUUGAGAACCAAGGUACCACUGUACUUGAAAUGGCUUUGAUUUCCUUCCUCACAUCUCAGGCCCGACACAAAAAUUCAGCGCAUCACCUUGAAGGACCAUGGCUACACAGAUGAAUUGAUGGACUACGUGACACCCCAUAUCGUGGUGCAGGAUUGGUCCGAUGUCCUCUACCCGAAUCCUCGUUACAACUACAGACUGACCGUGAAGCUGCUGGCUGCAGAUUUUAAAGCCCUCUAUACCUGCUAUAUCUCGAAUGGGGAGGUAAUCAAGGACGGCACAAGGAACUGGAAAAAGACUGUGUACAUCUUCCGCAACUACCCCAGCGGAGUCCGCCACAUCCAUUUUGAGCACGGCGUGGACUAUGGAAAGCUUGCCAACAGCAGCAUCAUCGUGGGCCCGAACUUCCCAUAGAAGAAGAAGAAAACACCCUGAAGAGAAAGAAAGGGUUGUUCAGCUGCUUGAACCCACCUCACCUGGGGUUCUCUCAGUGUCCCUACGGAUCUGGGAUGCUGGUUGUGGUCCCUGCUUAAGAAGCCUAUCCUCUGAAGCUGUAUGUCUGCAUUUUAAAAGUUAUCAUUGGAUUUUUAUUUUUUAAGGGGAAGUUUUAAAGAAUAUCAAUAAA
rnacentral:lncRNA from 1 species